rnacentral:rRNA from 1 species
AUUGAACGCUGGCGGCAUGCCUUACACAUGCAAGUCGAACGGCAGCAUGAUCUAGCUUGCUAGAUUGAUGGCGAGUGGCGCACGGGUGAGUAAUACAUCUGAACGUGCCCUGUAGUGGGGGAUAACUAGUCGAAAGAUUAGCUAAUACCGCAUACGUCCUGAGGGUGAAAGUGGGGGACCGCAAGGCCUCCUGCUUUAGGAGCGGCCGAUGUCUGAUUAGCUAGUUGGUGAGGUAAAGGCUCACCAAGGCGACGAUCAGUAGCUGGUCUGAGAGGACGAUCAGCCACACUGGGACUGAGACACGGCCCAGACUCCUACGGGAGGCAGCAGUGGGGAAUUUUGGACAAUGGGCGAAAGCCUGAUCCAGCAAUGCCGCGUGUGUGAAGAAGGCCUUCGGGUUGUAAAGCACUUUUGUCCGGAAAGAAAUGGCUCUGGUUAAUACCUGGGGUCGAUGACGGUACCGGAAGAAUAAGGACCGGCUAACUACGUG